AUGGAAUUCGGCGUCUUACAGCAGGAUAGUGCCUCGAUGCGCACUGAGGUAGCCAAGCUCCAUCAAGACGUGCAGUCCAUCAGUUCCAAACAAGGUGAUAUCUCUCUGCAAGUAGGUACAGUGGAAAAGGCUGUGUUAGAUCUCAGUAAGCAAUUAUCAGCAAUUAGUUUAGCGCUCAAGACACUAGUGCCUCCCACUAAUCAGAGCCAAACUAUUGAUAUCCCUUCUAGUUCUACACAGUUGGUGAAAUCUCCUACACUGCAGGGAGCAACUACUCAUUUACAGCCUGACAGAACUGAACAAUUACAGAAACAGCUAGAGGAAGAGAAGGAAAAGACUAGACUGGCUGAGGAAUUGCACUUGCAAAAUUUGCCACCUAUUCGCACUAACAGACCCAAUGUUCCACCUGGAUUUGCUCAAUCAAGAAGAAUGGAUUCCUCUAGUCAAGUGGGCACUCCUCUAUCCCAAAGAGAUCCAGGUCACACCCCUGCAUUUCAACAUUUUCGAAACAGGGAGAGGCAACUAUGGCAAGGAUAUUACAGAACAUAUGAGCAGGACAUGCAUGCCCAAUUCAUGAAGGCUAUGACAAAAGGUCCUAAACUGGAAUUUCCUAAAUUCUUUGGAGAGGAUCCUGUGGGAUGUUUGAGACAAUGUAACAAAUACUUUCAAAUGUUUGGUGCUCCUGAAGAAUACAAAGUAUCCUUAGCAUAG
rnacentral:rRNA from 1 species